rnacentral:lncRNA from 1 species
UUGUUUCAGCCAUCUAAGCCACCCAUUUUUCUCUAGAUCUCAUUGUUCUAAAACCCUCAAAACCAGCUAUUAAACCAACUCCAUAACCAUGAUCUCAAAGUUUGCUCCAACGAAACAACCACAACACUACUGUAUAGGGUAAAAUUUGGCUCCCAACGUCCCUACGUAAAGUGGGUACGUUAAUUGUGCUAAGGCCAACCUGAGUGAGGGCACGACCCUGCCAAUAAAACAAAGGCAACGUUGUUUGGGGGCUUACUUAUUCGGUAAGAAGAAGCCACCUACCUUUGUACUUUUUCUUUGAUUAUUUUGAGGAAGGUCUCCUACUAUAUAAAGGAGACCUUCAUAUUGUAAUGGGG